AUUGAACGCUGGCGGCAUGCCUUACACAUGCAAGUCGAACGGCAGCACGGGAGCAAUCCUGGUGGCGAGUGGCGAAUGGGUGAGUAAUGUAUCGGAACGUGCCCAGUCGUGGGGGAUAACGCAGCGAAAGCUGUGCUAAUACCGCAUACGAUCUAUGGAUGAAAGCGGGGGAUCGCAAGACCUCGCGCGAUUGGAGCGGACGAUAUCAGAUUAGGUAGUUGGUGGGGUAAAGGCCCACCAAGCCUGCGAUCUGUAGCUGGUCUGAGAGGACGAUCAGCCACACUGGGACUGAGACACGGCCCAGACUCCUACGGGAGGCAGCAGUGGGGAAUUUUGGACAAUGGGCGCAAGCCUGAUCCAGCAAUGCCGCGUGCAGGAUGAAGGCCUUCGGGUUGUAAACUGCUUUUGUACGAGACGAAAAGACUCGCUCUAAUACAGUGGGUACAUGACGGUAUCGUAAGAAUAAGCACCGGCUAACUACGUGCCAGCCGCCGCGGUAA
rnacentral:rRNA from 1 species